rnacentral:lncRNA from 1 species
UUUAACUCCUGCUGGCUAAGCGACGGAGGUGCCGCUGGAACUCCAGUCCUCUCCGUUUCCAAAGGCGGAUGCAGCUCCUCCUUCCCCAUCGCCAAUCCGUGCUCUGUCCGAAGCCUAAGCCAGGUUACCCCCCCUCCCUCCUCCCGCUCCUGUGCGGUGCGACGGGGGCGCGACGGCGCUGGCACCUGCUCGGAGCUUGAGGGCGGCCCGCAGCGCGCGGCAGGCGGCGACCCUGGCCUCGGCGGCUCCGCGGGGGCCGCCCGGGCAGUAGGUGGCGGCUUGCAGCGUCUCCGGCCGGCCCGGCAGCGGCUGGUCUCGGCGGCGGCGCUCGCCGAAGACGCGCUGCAGCAGCGCCUCCAGGUGCGCGCGCGCCGCCCCCUCCGAGUCCGACCCCGCGGCCCCGGCGGGCAGCACGACCACGCCGACCACGGCGGGGGGCGCCCCGGGGCGGGCGCGCAGGCGGGCGCGCACGUCGCUCAGGAUCUCGCGCAGGCGGCGUCGCUCCCGGGCCCAGCGCGGGGGCAGCAGCGAGGCGGCGCCGAAGAGCACGAAGAGCAGCGGGCAGCCCCGCCACGGCCAGCCCGGGCCGCAGUCCCGGCGGGGGACGCGCACUCGUCCCCGCCGUGCUGGGGGCGCCGCCGCCGCCGCCGCCUCCUUGGCCGGCUCGGGCUGCCGCUCGGCGAAGAGCUCCCGGGCGAAGGUCUCCAGCAGCAGCCGCGGCGGCGUCCGCUCCGACGGCGAGGCCGCCCCGCCGGCGCCCUCCGCCACCUCGGCCACCAGGAGCAGGCGCUGCCGCCCGCCGGCGCGGUCCACCAGCGCCCGGAACUCCCGCAGCGGUUCCAUGGCGUCGAACCCGCCGCCGCCCCGCCGCGCUCGCUCUCUCGGGCCGCCACCGCCGCCUCUUGUAGCACCGCGGAGGCGCCGCCCUCGCCUCGCCCAGGGGGCAGGCAGGCAGGGCAGACCCCGGACCGGAGAGCCCCCCUGUGGGGCGAGGGAGCCGGGCAGGACGGAGGCUCCCUCCCCGGACGGACGGACGGACGGGCCGGGCAGACAGGCAGGUGGAUCGGCUCCGCCUGGGGUUUGUUCUUUGCCCAAGACAGAACGGUGGCAGGCGAGUCAUUGGCGCAGAGCGGAGACGGUGGCGGGGGGCCAAAACCAUGGAGACCUUGUGGGUCUGAGGACGGCCGGUGCUCCACGUAA